rnacentral:rRNA from 1 species
CAUUAAUGAAUCUUCUAAAGUCGGCUUGUCAUCUGUGCUGGUGGCGCCACAAUGUGCACGUUGACAGUCGCAAAUCUCACACACCUUGUGCACCUAUGACUCUGAGUACCGCUUUGCAUGGGCCCCCUUAAAGGGCCCUGGUACUCGAGUACUUUACAACACACUCUGAAUGUAAUGGAAUGUCUAUUUGUACAAUGUACAACUAAAACAACUUUCAACAACGGAUCUCUUGGCUCUCGCAUCGAUGAAGAACGCAGCGAAAUGCGAUAAGUAAUGUGAAUUGCAGAAUUCAGUGAAUCAUCGAGUCUUUGAACGCACCUUGCACCCCUUGGUAUCCCAAAGGGUACACCCGUUUGAGUGUCAUUGUAAUCUCACCUCUUUGGCUUUUUGUCAAUCAGUGUGGACUUGGAUGCUGUCGUGUAACAAACGACUCGUCUGAAAUGCCUGAGUGUACCCUGCUUUGCAGCGUAUUCGGUGUGAUAAACAUCUUCACCGGAGUUGACUUUCGGGUCGCGCUUGUACUGAUUGGCUCUAUGCUUCUAACCGCCCUGACAAGGCAAUCUUUGACAAUUUGACCUCAAAUCGGGUGGGACUACCCGCUGAACUU